rnacentral:rRNA from 1 species
GACGAACGCUGGCGGCGUGCUUAACACAUGCAAGUCGAACGGAAAGGCCCUGCUUUUGUGGGGUGCUCGAGUGGCGAACGGGUGAGUAACACGUGAGUAACCUGCCCUUGACUUUGGGAUAACUUCAGGAAACUGGGGCUAAUACCGGAUAGGAGCUCCUGCUGCAUGGUGGGGGUUGGAAAGUUUCGGCGGUUGGGGAUGGACUCGCGGCUUAUCAGCUUGUUGGUGGGGUAGUGGCUUACCAAGGCUUUGACGGGUAGCCGGCCUGAGAGGGUGACCGGCCAAAUUGGGACUGAGAGAAGGCACAGACUCCUACGGGAGGCAGCAGUGGGGAAUAUUGCACAAUGGGCGGAAGCCUGAUGCAGCAAAGCCGCGUGCGGGAUGACGGCCUUCGGGUUGUAAACCGCUUUCGCCUGUGACGAAGCGUGAGUGACGGUAAUGGGUAAAGAAGCACCGGCUAACUACGUG